rnacentral:rRNA from 1 species
AGAGUUUGAUCAUGGCUCAGAUUGAACGCUGGCGGCAGGCCUAACACAUGCAAGUCGAACGGUAACAGGAAGCAGCUUGCUGCUUCGCUGACGAGUGGCGGACGGGUGAGUAAUGUCUGGGAAACUGCCUGAUGGAGGGGGAUAACUACUGGAAACGGUGGCUAAUACCGCAUAACGUCGCAAGACCAAAGAGGGGGACCUUCGGGCCUCUUGCCAUCAGAUGUGCCCAGAUGGGAUUAGCUUGUUGGUGAGGUAACGGCUCACCAAGGCGACGAUCCCUAGCUGGUCUGAGAGGAUGACCAGCCACACUGGAACUGAGACACGGUCCAGACUCCUACGGGAGGCAGCAGUGGGGAAUAUUGCACAAUGGGCGCAAGCCUGAUGCAGCCAUGCCGCGUGUAUGAAGAAGGCCUUCGGGUUGUAAAGUACUUUCAGCGGGGAGGAAGGUGUUGUGGUUAAUAACCGCAGCAAUUGACGUUACCCGCAGAAGAAGCACCGGCUAACUCCGUGCCAGCAGCCGCGGUAAUACGGAGGGUGCAAGCGUUAAUCGGAAUUACUGGGCGUAAAGCGCACGCAGGCGGUCUGUCAAGUCGGAUGUGAAAUCCCCGGGCUCAACCUGGGAACUGCAUUCGAAACUGGCAGGCUUGAGUCUUGUAGAGGGGGGUAGAAUUCCAGGUGUAGCGGUGAAAUGCGUAGAGAUCUGGAGGAAUACCGGUGGCGAAGGCGGCCCCCUGGACAAAGACUGACGCUCAGGUGCGAAAGCGUGGGGAGCAAACAGGAUUAGAUACCCUGGUAGUCCACGCCGUAAACGAUGUCUACUUGGAGGUUGUGCCCUUGAGGCGUGGCUUCCGGAGCUAACGCGUUAAGUAGACCGCCUGGGGAGUACGGCCGCAAGGUUAAAACUCAAAUGAAUUGACGGGGGCCCGCACAAGCGGUGGAGCAUGUGGUUUAAUUCGAUGCAACGCGAAGAACCUUACCUGGUCUUGACAUCCACGGAAGUUUUCAGAGAUGAGAAUGUGCCUUCGGGAACCGUGAGACAGGUGCUGCAUGGCUGUCGUCAGCUCGUGUUGUGAAAUGUUGGGUUAAGUCCCGCAACGAGCGCAACCCUUAUCCUUUGUUGCCAGCGGUCAGGCCGGGAACUCAAAGGAGACUGCCAGUGAUAAACUGGAGGAAGGUGGGGAUGACGUCAAGUCAUCAUGGCCCUUACGACCAGGGCUACACACGUGCUACAAUGGCGCAUACAAAGAGAAGCGACCUCGCGAGAGCAAGCGGACCUCAUAAAGUGCGUCGUAGUCCGGAUUGGAGUCUGCAACUCGACUCCAUGAAGUCGGAAUCGCUAGUAAUCGUGGAUCAGAAUGCCACGGUGAAUACGUUCCCGGGCCUUGUACACACCGCCCGUCACACCAUGGGAGUGGGUUGCAAAAGAAGUAGGUAGCUUAACCUUCGGGAGGGCGCUUACCACUUUGUGAUUCAUGACUGGGGUGAAGUCGUAACAAGGUAACCGUAGGGGAACCUGCGGUUGGAUCACCU